CCUACGGGUGGCAGCAGUGAGGAAUAUUGGUCAAUGGACGAGAGUCUGAACCAGCCAAGUAGCGUGAAGGAUGACUGCCCUAUGGGUUGUAAACUUCUUUUAUAUGGGAAUAAAAUGUUCCACGUGUGGGCUUUUGUAUGUACUUUAUGAAUAAGGAUCGGCUAACUCCGUGCCAGCAGCCGCGGUAAUACGGAGGAUCCGAGCGUUAUCCGGAUUUAUUGGGUUUAAAGGGAGCGUAGAUGGGUUGUUAAGUCAGUUGUGAAAGUUUGCGGCUCAACCGUAAAAUUGCAAUUGAUACUGGCAGUCUUGAGUACAGUUGAGGUAGGCGGAAUUCGUGGUGUAGCGGUGAAAUGCUUAGAUAUCACGAAGAACUCCGAUUGCGAAGGCAGCUUACUAAACUGCCACUGACAUUGAUGCUCGAAAGUGUGGGUAUCAAACAGGAUUAGAUACCCUUGUAGUC
rnacentral:rRNA from 1 species